rnacentral:rRNA from 1 species
UCAGACGAUGCGUCAUGCAUAUCAAUAAGCGGAGGAAAAGAAACUAACAAGGAUUCCCUCAGUAACGGCGAGUGAAGCGGGAAGAGCUCAAAUUUGAAAUCUUGAAAGGUCACCUUUCACGAAUUGUAGUUUAAAGAAGUGUUUUCUGUUACGAUCGUAAUAUAAGUUCUUUGGAAUAGGACAUCACAGAGGGUGAGAAUCCCGUCUAUGAUUGCGAUUUGUAGCUUUGUGAUACACUUUCAAAGAGUCGGGUUGUUUGGGAAUGCAGCCCAAAACGGGAGGUAAAUUUCUUCUAAGGCUAAAUAUUGGCGAGAGACCGAUAGCGAACAAGUACCGUGAGGGAAAGAUGAAAAGAACUUUGAAAAGAGAGUUAAAUAGUACGUGAAAUUGUCAAAAGGGAAGCGUUUAACACCAGUGUUGUUUUCUAAAAAUCAACCUCUGUUAGCUUUAUGCAUGUUUGUUUAGACCUAAUCAGCUAUCUUGCAUGUUCUAUUGUUUGCAGUGGUGCACUUUUCAGUUUACAGGUCAACAUCAGUUUUUUUUACCGUAAAAAAGUUAAAGAAAGGUAGCUCAUGGCUCCGGUCGUGAGUGUUAUAGUCUUUUUCCUAUGCGGUAGGAGAGACUGAGGUCUGCAGUGUAGGCUAUUUGGCUAGAUACUCAGGUGCUAUGUGAUACCAUUUCAUAAACAACUUGUUGAUUAUGUUUUGUCUAUUGCAUACUCGCUUGUACUAUCAUACCUACGCUUAGGAUGUUGACUGAUAUGUAGUCGUA